GAAUACAGAUGUGAAGUUGAAAAGAUCAUUAAGAUCAUCUAGUCCCCCCAUCAACCCAUGAUGACAAACUUAAUUGAAAAAGCUGGGGAAGUACUUGGGAUGAGAUCUUCUGUAAGCCAGAAGUUUGUUCAGCUCACAGGACAGAGUGAUAUGGAGACUCUGAAUCUAACUGCACCCAAAAGGAAAGAAACUCCCAGCCUAGGAUAUGAGUCAAGCUGCAGUGUCUAUGCCAUGCGUAUGACUGUCAGUCUUCCAGAGCUGAAGAUGGAACUUCUCCGUAAGAUCAGAGACAUACUUUUUCUGAAACGAUAUAAAUCCUGUAGUUAUUUAGAAAAUACGUUUUCCUCUAUCAAUAAAAUCUGAUUCUAAACAUUUGAUUCAGCUAAGUUACCUCUACAUGAAAGGUUGCCUUUGAAGCAGAGUUUUCUCUACGCGUUGGGUUGGCCCUGCCUUAGUAGGACAUGACAAGGAAGCUCUGAAAGCAUUGAUGAGGUUCAUCCACUUACUGUGACUCCUCAGAUCUGCAGUGUAGCAAGAGACUGCAGAAGAUUCUUCAGCUUGGAUGCCAUGUGCUUCAUGGAUCUCCUGCAGUCUGGUUCAUUCAGUUCUGAAGUAGUUCAGAAGAAUUUCUAUUCGUCCAUUUGUCUUCUAUUAUGUUUUCUUAUGCAAAGGCACCAUUCUUAUCCUUAUUAGCAGACAUCCAGUCACAACAGGUGAAGUGUUUGUGCUCCUCUUUCUGUUUAAAUAUCCUCAUCCUCUUCUCCUGGAGAUGGCCAUAGCAAACAUACAAGUUGUUUUCUUCCCUCGCCUCUGCGCAUUGUUCUCACUGUUAGCUUCUACUGGAAACAAAUCAUUUUUGAACCCCAAAUAACUGAAAUUAGCAAGAAAUCUGGGCUCAUCUAAUGCUUCUGUUUACUACUAAAUUGAUGAUGUUGCAACCUUUAUUUCACAGAUGUCUGUACAUGUCUCUCUUGAAUUCUUGCCCAACUUCUGUCUGAAGAAAGUAAAUUGUAGUUGAGCAAAAUUGUCUAUAAGUUGUUAUGACUAAGUAGUUUUGGAGGCAUGUCUUGUUGAUUUGAAAAGACUUUUUGAGCAGUCACUUGCUUUUAAUAAUAUUUACUGUGGAGAUUUUUGUCAUUUGACUUGAUAAACAAAAAUGUAUAGUGCAUUUUUGAGCACUUCUCCCUUUGGCUGCUCAAGCCUCUACUCCUGUUAAAAUGAUGUUUUGGUUUAUCACAGAGUGUGAUUGGGACAGUGGCCAGUGACCUUCAAGAGUGGAGGAGGUGCAUGUCUCAUCUGACUUGAAUCCCAGUUAGAUGUAAUAAGUUAGAUGUAAUAAGAUGUGUGAUGAAGACUGUAACCAAGGUCAGUCUCAACCUUCAGGUACUGCCUUUCCUCUUUGGCUUCAGCCUCCAAAGGUGGAGACUGUUUCUUUGUUUUUCUGAAUGGCAUCCAGCAGUGUUUUGAAGUUAUUGUUGGGAAGAUAGCGAUACCAUGUUUCUACCUGACUUACAGUG
rnacentral:lncRNA from 7 species